GGGUUAAGUCCCGCAACGAGCGCAACCCCUACUGCCAGUUAACUAACAGGUAAUGCUGAGGACUCUGGCGGAACUGCCCGGUGACAAAACCGGAGGAAGGUGGGGAUGACGUCAAGUCAUCAUGGCCCCUAUGUCCAGGGCUACACACGUGCUACAAUGGGCGAUACAGAGUGACGCGAAGCCGCGAGGUGGAGCAAAUCGCAGAAAAUCGCUCUCAGUUCGGAUUGGAGUCUGAAACCCGACUCCAUGAAGGUGGAAUCGCUAGUAAUCGCGCAUCAGCAUGGCGCGGUGAAUACGUUCCCGGGCCUU
rnacentral:rRNA from 1 species